UCUCUUCGGCUGCGAGACUGCUUGGGCGGCGGCGACGAUGGAAGGGUUUCGUUCUCUUCUCUUCGAUCAAAAAAAGUAUCAGUUCGAUUCUUGAGGUUUAGUCUUCUACGGUAGGAGAUGAAUAUUUAAAGUGUAUUAUCAUAUGGAAUUUCAGUAGGUGCGUUUGAUUGGGUAUUGCGUAGAGGGCUCUCUUUUUCUAGUCUAUGAAUUUAUCGAGAAUGGCAAUUUAGAUUGAAGGCAUUGUAUGACAAAUUUAAUUCUAGAAUUGAAUAUAAGACUCACCUUGUUUUUGUCUCAUUGUUAAAUUGUGAACAAAUAAUAUUUCUAUGUACUCUCAGCCUCAAUUCAUCAUAUUUACAAGUAGAAAGAGAACUUGUAAUUUAAGUUGCCAAUGAUUGAGGAAAACAUUGUUGGUAGAGCUAGCUAUCUUCUGCUCUUCAUGUUUAUGCAAUCUAUAAUUAUUCUGUUUGUCAGGUAUUUGUGCUAAAUUUAAUUGAAUUACUUGAUGCAGGUUUUGGUUGUAGGUGGUGGUGAUGGUGGAGUUCUUAGGGAAAUCUCUCGCCACAAUACUAUUAUAUAAUUCCGAACGCCAUAAUUAAGUGAUCCCAUAGUUAAGCUUGAAGUUGCUCUUAAGAUUUUGUUGAGGGAAUAGUUGAUAUGAUCAAGCGGUUGAUGUUGGGAGCCAAAGAUUAUGUUGCUCUUCUUCUUCUUCUUCUUCUUCUUUUUCUUUUUUCUUUUUUUUUUGAAGACUUGAAUUUUUUAGUACAG